rnacentral:misc_RNA from 1 species
UAAUAUUUUUCUAUUCGUCAUACACUAAAAAUCAUAAAAUUCAAUGUAUUUACAUUUUAUACAAUGGUUCGCGAUGAUGCACAAGUGAUAAAGUAUUAUCGGUUAUGGCUUUUCCUACUUGAUCCAUCCACAGUUGAGCAAAACAACCAUCAGACGAGCGGUCUUUUAAUAUAACUCAAUAUUUUGACGACUAGCUUCACACGUCAUGAUUUAUUCAUCAAGGGUCAACACCACGAGGUCGUGCAUAAGAAAAGUUGAAGUGAAGCAAAAAUAAAACUAUCAUCACCACUUGCCUGUUAGUUUCCGGUUUAGGAGCAAGACAAAAUGAAGUCACGUAAAGAUGUAUCAUCGCCAUCAAAAAAGCUGCUGAUACAACAGGAAAGGCCAUUGGAUCCCUACGAUAAGCUCAAAUAUCAGAUAUCAGAUAAGUUGUUUCGAGGUGAGAGACUUUCAGGAAUUCUAAACAACUUGGAGUCACUUGAAUGUAGUGUCGUACCUGAGACACCCAUUGAAAGUUGUUCCUCUUGGUCGACGGAUGCAUCUAGGCAGGAUGAAGCUGUUGCCUCGACUGUAAUUAGAUCCGACGGAUUUUGCAAGGAAACGUGCAAAAGGAAGGAACUCUAUUACACGAUUAAAGCUAAAGUUGAAAGAGCUAUCCAAGAGCAUAAAGUAUUUUUAAUUCGUGGAGAUCUACCGAAGCUCGAGGAAGCUCUUGAAAAAAGGGGAUGGGUUCAAAAGUACGAGUCAGUCAAAAUGCGCAUGCUACCUUACCAGAGUACAUCAGUUCUUGAAUCCCAGUCUUUUGGAAGCAUCGACCAAAAUGAUAGAACGUUGAAUGAGAAAGCACUUAUUUUUUCUUUUUUACAAUACACCCCUCCUGAUUUUAUUUGGGACUGCCGUAAUGACUUUGUCCAAUGGGAUACCUCAUUGGGAAAUAAUGUUCUUUUAAACAGAUUUGAGCGAUCCUCUGUAUACACUUCAAAGCUUGGGAUGGCUUAUAUUCUUCAAAAUUCUCAUUGGCUUCAUGGAGAUAAUGUGUCUACGAUUAAGUACCCACGAAGUUACAAUCCAAGUCGAGAAGCUAAAGUCUUUCUUGGAGAGUUUCGUCGUACUGCUGCAAUAGGAUUACUGAAGUGGUUUGUUUCACGAAUUCAAAAUGAUCAAGAAAUUCUAGAUUCCAGGGAAGAGUCGAUUUCUAUUAGUCAAGUAGAAUUUGCUAUUGAGCAAUGUGAGGAAUUUUUAGCAGAAGAGAAAUACGGAAAUAUAGAUGGAGUUGAUAACUCUGUAAUUUCAGAAGAAAAAAAUGAAGAAUGGAAUCUUUUCUUAGAAGAUUACUCGAAAGUGGUACACAAAGGAAAUAGAAUUGCAAAUUCCGGGGAUGAUAUCUACAUGAGAUUAGAGAAAUCCUAUUUAUCAGCCAAUGUGAUAUUAAAGAAAUUGAAAGAAAUCGAUCCUGAAUAUGAGCUUAGUGGAAUGAGAAAUAUUUGGAUUUUGAAGCCUAGUGAUCUUUGCUGUGGAACGGGCAUCAGCAUAUCUCAUAGCGUCAAAGACAUAUUCCGCCGGGUGAAGGCCAAACCCAAGGAUUAUUUCAUCGUGCAGAAAUAUAUCGAAAGUCCUUUGUUGGUGCAUGGAACAAAGUUUGACAUACGUCUAUGGUAUCUCGUCACGUGUACUUUUCCUUUGAUCAUCUGGAUAUUUGAAGAACCGCUGUUGAGAUUUAGUUCGAAAACUUUUUGUUUUGCAACAUAUCACGAAGCAAUUCAUCUUUGCAACACUGCGAUUCAGCAAAAAUAUGAUUAUGAAAAACGUCGGAAACGAAUGCGUGGCAAUCUUGGUGAUGAAACGACGGAUUCAAUUCGUGAUCAAGAAUGGAACUGUGCUAGAUUGAACGAAUAUUUAAAAACACAAGGAUAUGAAGGAGAGCCUUUUUAUGAUCUCAUUUAUCCAAAAAUGUCCGAAGCAAUCGUGCUUUUGAUGUUGGCAGCUCAAGACUAUUUAGACCGAAGAGCUCGUAGUUUUGAACUAUACGGAGCGGAUUUUAUGGUUCUUGAAGACUUGACGGUUUGGUUGAUUGAAAUAAAUACAAAUCCACGCAUGAAUCCACCAAGUUCAAAGAUCACUCAACGGUUGUAUAGCUCUGUACUUGAAAGUUUGAUCAAAGAUCCAACUUACUUGACUGCUCUACGUGUUCCAGCAUGUUUGUAUUGGCGGCACGAGUUGGCUACUAAUCAAACAAGCUGGACUUUCGGGAAUAGUCUUAUUUUAUUUAUUUUUUUCAAGUUUUCUUUUAUUCCAACUCUUGCUCCGUUAUAAGUACGAAUUAUUUGUCCAGAACUUUAAUAGAAUUUCGAUAAAACCAAUAAUGAUUCUAGAUAGGCCAAUAAAUCCAGACGCUGACACUGGAGGAUUUAAGCUUGCUUUCAAACAAAACAUUCCAGAGUUUUAUCCUAACUGUGGACCGGAUCUUU